CCUACGGGGUGCAGCAGUGGGGAAUAUUGCACAAUGGGGGAAACCCUGAUGCAGCGACGCCGCGUGAGUGAAGAAGUAUCUCGGUACGUAAAGCUCUAUCAGCAGGGAAGAAAAUGACGGUACCUGACUAAGAAGCCCCGGCUAACUACGUGCCAGCAGCCGCGGUAAUCAUUAGGGGGCAAUCGUUAUUCGGUUUAACUGGGUGUAUAGGGAGAGUAGUCGGUAGCAAAAGUCUGGAGUGAAAUGCCGGGGCUUAACCCCGGAACUGCUUUGGAAACUGUGCGGCUGGAGUGCAGGAGGGGUAAGCGGAAUGUCGAGUGUAGCGGAGAAAUGCGUAGAUAUUAGGAGGAAAAGCGGUGGCGAAGGCGGCUUACUGGACUGUAACUGACGGUGAGGCGCGAAAGCGUGGGGAGCAAACAGGAUGAGAUACCCGAGUUC
rnacentral:rRNA from 1 species